UACGAAGGGUGCAAGCGUUACUCGGAAUUACUGGGCGUAAAGCGUGCGUAGGUGGUUCGUUAAGUCUGAUGUGAAAGCCCUGGGCUCAACCUGGGAACUGCAUUGGAUACUGGCGGUCUAGAGUGCGGUAGAGGGUGGCGGAAUUCCCAGUGUAGCAGUGAAAUGCGUAGAUAUCGGGAGGAACAUCCGUGGCGAAGGCGGCCACCUGGACCAGCACUGACACUGAGGCACGAAAGCGUGGGGAGCAAACAGG
rnacentral:rRNA from 1 species